UUCCUGUCCCAUUUCAGCACCUGUGUUAGAAAGUUCUUCCUUACAUGCUUCAUGUUACCUAAUACAUUAAGCCAUGCAGGGGACUAACGGAGCAUAGCAAUGUGGCCUGUUAAGGGUUCCAGGAGAAGAAUGGAAUUUCAGGCACAUGGCACAGGAUAUUUCAGGCACAGGACAUGUGGAUGGAAUUAAAAAGAACAGCAAUGGGAAGGCUAGGAGAAGGGACCCAGUAUUUAUUAAGAAGUUGCUAUCAUGUGCUAAAAAAAAAUCUAGGAGGUUAAAUCAAAUAAACUGAUAUGAAAGUGUCCAUGAAAUAAGUAUUUUUAUCUCUAUUUAUUCAGAUGAAAAAAAAUCAAGGCUUAAUUUAAGUAACUUGUCCAAGGUCAAGGAGUUGACAAGUGGCUGAGCUGGAGUUCAGCAUCUCAGACAUCUUCCUUUGAAUCCUUGCCUUCCUUGUGAAUUUCAGAUGACGGAGCAUGACGGCUGCAUGAUUAUGGGGUCACCGGGCCUGUCCUGGCCCUGAGGGACCAAGGAUCAGAAGGGCAGAACCAACUCGCUCAGCUAGUGAAGUGCAAUGGACAUGAUCUGUUCCUGGCUUACCCUCCGCUGGCCUUCAGGAGGUUUCUGAAUGCACCAGGGGCCUAGAGAAGCAGCAACUGCUGGACUGUAUUGCCAGGUAGCCAGUAGCGUGGGGCCCUGGAAGAGGCUGGAGGAUACUGCGCUGUCACUGAGACACCUGCCCCAGGUCCUCCAUCUCAGCCACUGCCCACAAACACAGCUCCACAGCCAGAAAGACCCAGCCACAGAAAUGCCAGCAAACAACACCCCUGGCUCCCCACAUCCCACGGUAAAGCUCCAAACGCUUGGAGCACACACAAGGCCUGACUCCAGGUCACCUUCUCUACUGGGACAGAAAGGGUGCCCUGGGGGUGGGGAAGGGCCUGGGGCUGGCAGAGCCAGGCUGUAUUUGGGUCAUUUUCCAGGAGGCCUGGGUUAUUUCUAACACCCCCUCCUCCAAGAAGACAACUUUGCCUCCUGCCCCUUGAGGUUCUUCCUUCUUGUGGCAUCCAGCAUUUUCUCUGGUAACUGUUGUGGGUAUUUUUUGCAGUUUGGGAAACUAAAAAAUAUAGAAAACUGCAAGAAAUAAUUACAGUCACCAAUAUGCUUGCCACUCAGAAUCAAACACUGCCAGAGUUUUCCAUAUUGGCUUUUCUAGGCUUCUAUAUGCAUCUAUAUCUAAUCUGGAUCUGUGGCUGGAUCUAUAUCUGUAGCUAUGUGUGUACCUGUAUCUUGAUCUAUUGUGCUUUUGAAAGGAAAGUACGUACUCAAGUCCCCGGUGACCAGCACCCUCAUGCUGACAUCAGAUGUCAAAUGCAACUCCAGUUCAGGUCACUCUUCUACAGGGGAUGUGUAUCCUUUCUACCUUUUAAACAUGUUGUUAUAGACACGUUCUGAGGCAUAGAAAAUUUAUAAUUUGGGGGGACAUUGUCUACACAAGUGAGGUUGGGCUGAGCCCAUCAUCCUGCAAUGUGUUGUUUCAUUCAAUGGCGUAUUUUUGGGCUCUGUUGAGGUUGACACACAUGGAUGCUGUUUGUUCCAUUCAGAAACAGCCCAGGUGGCCAGGCCCUCAACUACGCUGAGGCAUCCUGAACGGAAGGGCUGAAGAGACCGCCCUGGGGUCUCCACCCCCUACUGCAGCCAGACCUUCUGGGGCUGCCUUCCCUGGGGAGCCUCGAGCAGAUGCUGAAUGAGCUCCAGGAACUGAGGGCCACAGGGUGACCUUGCUCCCAGCGAGGGAGGUUUGGGCCUGGGACUUCAGGUCCUCAGGAAGUUCCCUCAGCCCCGCAGGCCUCCUGAUGCCAACAUGACUCUGCCCCAUGGGAGGCCAGGGCAGCCACUUCCUGGCUCUGCCUGUUUGGCCAACUGGCCUUUAGGAAGCCCCGCUCUCUGUCCCCCAAUACUCCAUGGGAGUUUCAGUGCCCAACGGGCACCUGACGAGCCUGGUAUCUGCUGGGGACCAAGGGCUGUUUAUCCUCCCUGGGACCUGGGGAGCUAAGGGUCAACACAGCCAGAAGCCUGCCCCCAGAACAGGACUCUUGUGGGUAGUGUAGACACACCCCAGCUCUGGCCCUCAAGGGAGAUGUGAGCCGUGUGCUUUCUCUCUCCGGUCCUCCCUGAGGAACGCAGGGCCAGCUGCCCACUGUGGCGGCAGCUCGGGCCCAGUCACACUCCUUCACUGGUGAUCUCCCUCCCCUGCAGGCCUCCUUCCACCUCCCAGACAAGCUGCUGGUGACCAGAUUCCUGUCUCAGCGUUUGCUUAUGUGAGAUCUCUAACUCAGAACCCGUCCCUUCCUGGGUCCGGCUUCUGCUGGGAAGCCAGCCACCUGAGGUGGGGGCUGACGGGCUGGGUGGGGGCCCCGGACUGCACUGGGCUAGCAGAUGCAGGGAGGCAGGGAGGGGGAGGCAGGCCAUUUAUUGAAGAACUGCUUGCAGACAUGGACACACACAGCCAUGGUAACCAGACGCCACCCUGGGGCCAGGGAGCACCCAGAAACAGCCCUGGGCUGCCAGCCCAGUCUCAUGCUCACCAUUUCUUUCUAUGGC
rnacentral:lncRNA from 10 species